GUAGUACUCCCUCCGUCCCAAAAUUCUUGUCUUAGAUCUGUCUAGAUACGGAUGUAUCUAAUACUAAAACGUGACUUCAUACAUCCAUAUUUAGACAAAUCCAAGACAAGAAUUUUGGGACGGAGGGAGUAUAAC
rnacentral:pre_miRNA from 1 species